GCAGCUGCAGAAGUGCCAGCACCCUGGAGUCACCCUCGCAUCGGGCAUCCCUGCCGCCGCCAGGGCCCUGCGACCCUCUGGGAAUCUCUCCCUCCCCAAGCAGUUUUAUUUCAAGAGAACUGGGACCUCACUGGGCAGCUCCCAAAGGCGUCUGUCAGCACUCCACUGAGGAUGUCCCUCUUCAGGAGGACCAAGAUGAGGAUGGCGAUCUGCAGGAAGGCGAGGAACAGAAGAAAUCUCCUGCGGGACAGGAGAAAGGUUAGGCCGAGCAGGGGGUAAAUUUGUCUCCAGCUCUCGACAACCACCCUCUUUGAAUGCCACCGUGGGACCUUGCACCGUGCUGGGCACAACACAUCCUGCUUGGGACUGGGGUGAGGCUCUGCUGUACAUCUCCCCAGUGGGCCCCCAAAAUCCCCUGCUAU